rnacentral:rRNA from 1 species
UACGAAGGGGGCUAGCGUUGCUCGGAAUGACUGGGCGUAAAGGGCGCGUAGGCGGCUCAUACAGUCAGGCGUGAAAUUCCUGGGCUCAACCUGGGGACUGCGCUUGAGACGUGUGGGCUUGAGUGGGGAAGAGGGUCGUGGAAUUCCCAGUGUAGAGGUGAAAUUCGUAGAUAUCAGGAGGAACACCAAUGGCGAAGGCAGCUCGCUGGGACGGUACUGACGCUGAGACGCGAAAGCGUGGGGAGCAAACAGG